AUUGAACGCUGGCGGCAGGCUUAACACAUGCAAGUCGAACGAGUGGCGGACGGGUGAGUAAUGGCUGGGAAACUAGCUUAUGGCGGGGGAUAACUACGGGAAACGGUAUCUAAUACCGCAUAGCAUCGGAUGUGACCAGGUGGGAUUAGCUAGUUGGUGAGGUAAAGGCUCACCAAGGCGACGAUCCCUCGCUGGUCUGAGAGGAUGACGAGCCACACUGGGACUGAGACACGGCCCAGACUCCUACGGGAGGCAGCAGUGGGGAAUAUUGCGCAAUGGGGGCAACCCUGACGCAGCCAUGCCGCGUGAAUGAAGAAGGCCUUCGGGUUGUAAAGUUCUUUCGGUAGCGAGGCGUUAACUACAGAAGAAGCACCGGCUAACUCCGUGCCAGCAGCCGCGGUAAUAC
rnacentral:rRNA from 1 species